ensembl:lncRNA novel transcript
GACCUAAAUCACAGACAAGAUGGUCCUGUGCUUCUGCAGUCAAGUAAAAGUGGAAUCUCUGUCAAUGUGAAUCAGAAUCACUUCUCAGCAACACAGCAGCCUUCAGUCCUUGCUGACAGAUUCCUUCUAAGCUGCACGGGGGCAACCAUGCAGAAAAAGCAAAAUCCUACCUUCAGCCAGGGAGUUUGCUGGCUACCUCAUAUUCAUCUUGAUAAAGAUGUCUCCAAGAGCAUUUGUAGCAAGAUUUGAGUCCUGACCCUUCUUUACACAGACAAGUUGACCAGCAAAGCUGCCAAGUUUAAAUGAGGCCCUUUGCAGCAGCAGAUCUUGGAAGCCAUUCAACAAGUCAAGACCCAGGCACCACCUUGAAAACCUUGAGUCUGCUACCUUGAUGGAAUUACUGGAUGUGACAGCAGAGACCUGGAAGAAAAAUGCCUUGAUUUGGCUGUGUAAGCUGCAGCCACUGCAGGUAACCUGAAGAAAUGCUGAAUCUGCUGUCCUGGACGUCAUUCUGUCCCAGAUCACAGACACCUUUACAUCCUGCCAGUGGUGAACUACACCAGCAUUCCCAAUACUACAGUGCGCGUCUAUAGAAGCUGAGCCCUGGAUUAUCAAGUGAAGACCUGAUACUUGCCACAUGGGAGGGAGCCAGAGGGACCCUGUUUUAAUUUAGCUGGUCUAAGGUGGCACAAUGUCACAACCACAACUAACAAAACCUUGGCGGGAUGGUAUUUUGACACAGCCAGUCUUCUUUUGUCCCUUGCUACCUAUCAGUAGGCAAUAAAACCACUUCAUGUAAUGUUGUGUGUACAGGUAUACUGCCUCACCAGAUUCAGACAGGUCAGUAACCAGUGCACAGUGAACCUGCUUCACACAGCCCUAGGACAAUGGGUACUAUGAUCAGCAUUACCACUUUAUAGAUGAGGAACUGAGGCACAGAGAAGUAAAUCAUAUAGCUAGUAAGUGGCAGAAUCAGAAUGUGAUCCCAGGCAAUCUGGCCUGUAGAGUCUGUAAUAUUAACGACUAUGCUAUGGAGUCUUUGAUGGAUUAGGGAAAAAAAUUACCGUUGCUCUUCCCAAAAACCUUAUAAUUAAAUGACUCUAAUGAUCAGAUGUGAGCACAACCUUGGAAAAUGUAAUUUUCCAUAAAUUUUAGAUCAUUUGGAAAUAUUGUCCAUUUUCUUUCUUGGCUAACUUUGAUCAUUGAGAACAGCAGCAUAGGAUUUUAAUAUUUAUUUAUUUAUCUGAUAGUAAGCAUUUAUCUAAACUCUUUAUGGAAAUCUUCAAAUCAGUCAUUUCAUUUAUGUAGACAAAAAUGCAGGUGAAAAAUCUAAGUAUGUAUUUAAAUUUACUGAAAAUCAUAUUUUUUCCUUAAGUAAGCCUUUCAUUAUUCCUCUGGAAUUUCUCUUUUCCAUGUAAUGGCUCUUUUGUUGGUAAGAUUUUUCUAUGUUAUUCAUUGACAGCUGCAAAACUGCUUUGCCAAGUUAAAAAUGCAAUCGUAUUUUGAAAGAUACUUGUUUGUUAAACAUAAAAUGAUUUAUUUAGUUGCCUGUUUAUAAUAGUUUUAGAGAAAUAUUACUCUAGGAAUAUAUUUUUAUGUGAAAUGACUAUUAAGAGUUCAUUAUAUUUUUCCAUGUUUAGGAUUCUAUUCUCUCAUUUCUUUAAUAUCCUCU